rnacentral:rRNA from 1 species
CCCCUAGACGUUCUGGGCUGCACGCGCGCUACAAUAAUACGCACAGCGAGUAUCACCGAGCUCGAAAGGGCAAGGUAAACAAUAGAAAAGGUACUGUAAUGGUUAUAGAUCCUUGUAAUUAUCGAUCUUCAACGAGGAAUUCCUAGUAAGUAUGUGUCAUCAUCACGCACUGAUUACGUCCCUGCCCUUUGUACACACCGCCCGUCGCUCCUACCGAUUGAGUGAGCCGAUGAAACUGCCGGAUGUGGACUAUUCAUAGUCUGCAGAAGAUAUUUGAAUCGUAGCGCUUAGAGGAAGGAGAAGUCGUAACA